rnacentral:lncRNA from 1 species
UUUAAUUUUACUAUGUAGAUUUUUGGUGCCCACUUCAAACUAACGCUUAAUUAUAGGUUAUCAUAAGAGUCACCACAAGUAUGGAAUGUCAAAACGUUGAAUUGGCCUGGACCUUGCCAAAGAAUUCAAGAUAAUUAGCAAAUUUCAGCAGAAAAAGGGCUACACACACAUCUCAUAUGGGAGAACAGGACUAUGGAAAGGUUACAACUUAGCUACAAAAGGUAUUCAAGCUAUCUUGUAUUGAAUAAUAUGAAGAGGUUGCUUGUUUUCAUAUCUGCAGAUGAUGUGCCAAGAAAUAUACAAGGCUUAUUCACUGCAAAUUGGGAUGCAGAUGAUUCCGGAAGUGAGAUUCUAACUAGCUUGUAGCACAUCAAGAAUUUGUUUCUACACUCCAUUGUCUUCCAGUUACUCAAAUAUAUUGCACCCA